UACGGAGAGUGCAAGCGUUAUCCGGAUUCACUGGGUUUAAAGGGUGCGUAGGCGGAUAGGUAAGUCCGUGGUGAAAUCCUGCAGCUUAACUGCAGAACUGCCAUGGAUACUAUCUAUCUUGAAUGUCGUGGAGGUUAGCGGAAUAUGUCAUGUAGCGGUGAAAUGCUUAGAGAUGACAUAGAACACCCAUUGCGAAGGCAGCUAACUACGCGAUAAUUGACGCUGAUGCACGAAAGCGUGGGGAUCAAACAGG
rnacentral:rRNA from 1 species